rnacentral:rRNA from 1 species
UACGUAGGGGGCCAGCGUUGUCCGGAUUCAUUGGGCGUAAAGCGCGUGUAGGCGGCCAGGUAGGUCCGAUGUGAAAUCUGGAGGCUCAACCUCCAGCGGUCAUUGGAAACCAUCUGGCUAGAGUCCGGAAGAGGAGAGUGGAAUUCCUGGUGUAGCGGUGAAAUGCGCAGAUAUCAGGAAGAACACCAAUGGCGAAGGCAGCUCUCUGGGACGGUACUGACGCUGAGACGCGAAAGCGUGGGGAGCGAACCGG